GGAAGUCUGGGCUGGGUCAGAGCCUGUGUAUUUAUCCCUCUGGGAGUUUCCAGCUUUGUGUGGGCUCAAUGUCAACAAUUUUUAUCCGAGAAACUCUAGAGCUGGUCAAGGGCCAAAGUUCUCUUUACCCAGCCCAGGUUAUUGGCAAGAAAACUCAAAGCUUACGUUUUUAUGAAAGAAAGAGAUUUGAUUGUCAGGAGAGGAGAAGGCCAACGUUUGUCUGAUGCCAGGGCCUCUGCAUGUUUAUUGCCGUUAAUACUUGAAACGUUCAAAGCACAAAGGAAACUGGCCAUUCAGGAGACUCCUGUAAUGAUUUGAAGUUUGAAGACCCUGGUCUGUGUUUGCUUGUCUGCCUACUAUGUGUCAGACACGGAGACUAUGAAAUUCAACGGAGAAGUGAUAGAAUUGAUUUAAAAAUGCAAUGAAUGCAUAGUCAUAAACCAUGGAUGGAGGCAGCAUCCACCAAAGUCAGCUCCUCCCACUGGCAAGAAACUCAGCAGAACCUGCACAUGCCCUUUGAAGAAGAAACCUUGAUCAGUCCCCCAGGUGUGAGUUCAUUUCAGUUCAGUCACUCAGUUGUGUCUGACUCUGCGACCCCAAGAAUCUCAGCACGCCAGGCCUCCCUGUCCAUCACCAACUCCCGGAGUUACUCAGACUCACAUCCAUCGAGUCAGUGAUGCCAUCCCGAGAGAGGAGAACAUGAAGGCACCAGAUGGUUAAAGGGACUACAAGCAACCUCACAGCUCUGACCAAGGAGGAAGGGGAAGGGCAGCAGGGUACAACGAAAUGUGUCCAGAGCAGUUAAAAUUUUUGCAGUUCUCAGUUUCAUGGCUUGAAUCCUGCAUGUGUGCUUCUCUGGCUAUGAAUGCAGCUGUUGAAGUUGAAUACUCAUUAUUAAAUGCCUUAU
rnacentral:lncRNA from 1 species